rnacentral:lncRNA from 1 species
UUGAGGUUACUCGAGUAUGGAGCAUCGAACUCAGCCCUCAGCGGGCUUUUAAUUUUCAUAUGACCUUCUGGGUGCAUCAACAGAGGCACUACAUCAUGUGGCAGUUGUUGUUGAAGAACAUAAUAAUAACCUAGUUAUCAAUGUAAUCAACAUCAUUUAUGCAAUAGUAGAGCGUACUUAAUUAGGAAUCUCUUAUCAAGAUAUUUCGGCGAAUGUCAUCCGGCCAACCUAUGCACUAUUGGAUGUAAAAUGUAUAAUUUUGGCCAAUUCCUAAAUUAUACGGGAAGUUAUCCCUAGAAACCAGAACACCAACAAGAAAGUAGAGAAGAACAUCCUUCUCCUCCCGAGUUAGAUGUGAUCCACACGUGUAGUAUGUUGUGUCAAUUAAUUUCCAUAAUUCAUUCGAAGAAACGAAAUAAGCUGUAAAUUAUAAUUUAACAAAUUUAGUAUAUGGAUGAACGCCAACUAUUUCUAAAUAUAGAAUGCAAAUUACUUCACAAAUAUGGUUGAGGAACUCACAUGGAGGUAAAACAGGAAGCAUAUCGACAACCACCCAAA